rnacentral:rRNA from 1 species
GCUGGCGGCAGUUUAACACAUGCAAGUCGAACGCCCCGCAAGGGGAGUGGCAGACGGGUGAGUAACGCGUGGAAACGUGCCUUUCACUACGGAAUAGCUUUUGGAAACGAAAGGUAAUACCGUAUACGCCCUCCGGGGGAAAGAUUUAUCGGUGAAAGAUCGGUCCGCGUUAGAUUAGCUAGUUGGUGAGGUAAGAGCUCACCAAGGCGACGAUCUAUAGCUGGUCUGAGA